GCCGAGGUGGCGAAACUGGUAGACGCACCAGACUCAAAAUCUGGCGGCCGCAAGGCCAUGUCGGUUCGACUCCGACCCCCGGUACCA
rnacentral:tRNA from 1 species